UACGUAGGGACCGAGCGUUGUCCGGAAUCAUUGGGCGUAAAGAGCGUGUAGGCGGCCACUUAAGUCCUGCGUGAAAUCUUGCGGCUCACCGCAAGCGGUCGUGGGAAACUGGGUGGCUAGAGUGCGGGAGAGGAGAGUGGAAUUCCUGGUGUAGCGGUGGAAUGCGCAGAUAUCAGGAGGAACACCGGUGGCGAAGGCGGAUCUCUGGGCCAUAACUGACGCUGAGGAGCGAAAGCAUGGGGAGCGAACAGG
rnacentral:rRNA from 1 species